rnacentral:rRNA from 1 species
AUCCCAUUCGGAUUGCAGUCUGAAACUCGAGUGCAUGAAGCUGGAAUCGCUAGUAAUCGCAAAUCAGAAUGUUGCGGUGAAUACGUUCCCGGGUCUUGUACACACCGCCCGUCACACCAUGGGAGUUGGAAAUGCCCGAAGUCAGUGACCCAACCUAAGGGAGGGAGCUGCCGAAGGCAGGUUCGAUGACUGGGGUGAAGUCGUAACAAGGUAUC